GCCCCGCGCCGGGCUCUAGCUGUUUCCCUCAGGCGGCCUGUUCCACGCCAGGAUUAGUUUUGCUUCGCAGAUGGGCCGUGGUGGUGAGAGGAAGCAAUCAGUAUGGAAAUGGAGAAAUGGCUUACCAUGCAUGUCCUUCUCCCCAGGAGGGAGGUCGUGGUGCAGGCGAGCAGACGCCAGACUCCUGGACACUUGCCGCCUGCGUUAUGGAGGCUUAGCUAAUAACCUUGCAGGGGUCUUCAGGCUUUUCCACUGGCUCACCUUUAGGCUUCUGACACUUUUACCUACGAUUGAAAAAAGACGAGAUUCCAUGAGACUAGAAAUGUAGGAGCAUCUCAGACCUUCACAGAACGCUCUGUUAGAAGAUGAGAAACAUAACGUUGCUUGUGAGAGGUGAAGCCAGCUGGACUUCCUGGGUCGAGUGGGGACUUGGAGAACUUUUCUGUCUAGCUAAAGGAUUAUAAGUGCACCAAUCAGCACUCUGUAAAAACACACCAGUCAGCGCUCUGUGUCUAGCUAAAGGAUUGUAAAUGCACCAAUCAGCACUCUGUAAAAUGGACCAAUCAGUACCCUGUAAAAUGGACCAAUCAGCAGGACGUGGGCAGGGACAAAUAAGGGAAUAACAGCUGGCGCCCCUAGCCAGCAGUGGCAACCCACUCGGAUCACCUUCCAUGCUGUGGAAGCUUUGUUAUUUCACUUUUCACAAUAAAUCUUAGGGUUGCUUACUUUUUGGGUCCAUGCCACCUUGAAGAGCUGUAACACUCACCACGAAGGUCUGAGGCUUCAUUCUUGAAGUCAGACUAAGAACCCACCGGAAGGAACCAAUUCCAGACACACGUGUAGUAGCAAAUUAUCAAAAAUGUUCAUUGCCUUUUCUGAAAAACAAUUUUCCCAGAAACACCUGGCAGAAUCAGAGUUCAUUGUGUCAAAAGAAAAACUUUGGACAAAUUAAAAUGAGCAAAGAACAAUUUGUGAAAUGUGCCCCUCUCCCAACCAGAACAGGUUCAAAGAGACUCCAGUGCUGCCACAUGAUCAAAGAAUUAUGGACAAAAAAAGCAAAUAAAUUACAGGAAAAGAAAAUGAGAUAAUGCAGUAGUUACUUUUUGAAGGACGACCGAAGCAGGAUAUUUCCCUGACCCCUUCAUGGGACCCACGUCAGAGGUGUUUACUCAGCCUGCUGCCCACAACUCCUCACAGGAGGGAGCGCACAAGUGAACGAGGGUGAGGACUGGAGAGCACCAGCACUGGAACAACCCGGCCACUUCGGCGCUACUGGGAUCAAACUCCAUCACUUGGACACACUGUGUUCCACCCCUCGUGGGAGGGAGCAUGCAGGAAAGGUGACUGGCCACUAAGAAGGUGGAGGUGAGCCGGGUGUGAUGGCUGAUACCUGUAAUCUCAGCACUUUGGGAAGCUGAGGCGGGAAGAUCGCUUGAGACCAGGAGUUUGAGACAAACCUGGGCAACAUAAUGAAAUCCUCAUCUCUACAAAAAAAAAGCAUGGGCAUGUUGGAGCAUGCCUGUAGUCCUAGCUGCUUGGGAGGCUGAGGCAGGAGGAUUGCUUGAGCCCAGGAGUGCAAGACUGCAGUGAGCUAUGGUCAUGCCACAGCACUCUAGCCUGGAUGACAGAGCAAGACCCUGUCUCAAAACAAUCAAUCAAUAAAAAUUGGAGGUAGGAAGGGUGGCUGACAUUCCUGGAGGAUUUCACAUUUGGUCAGAACUGGUUCAGGUCUGGGUCAGAACCUAUCCCCCGGGGAGGAGGCAUCAAGAGAACUUUUGGCAAGGCAGAUGCUAGAGGAAAAAAAUACAGAUAGGGGACACCACAGUUUUAAAGCUUGUAAAAAGUACUUUUAUUUGUAUUUCUGUGUACUUAUCUAGUUCAACCUUUUGAAGUGAAAUAUAAAUUAAAAUUCUUAGACUAAUUGAAUCAGAUGACAGCUGAAGAUCUACUUAAGAAAAAAAUGUCUUGAGAAUAAAUCUGCAGUCAUCACUGUGCUGCAUGUUAACAUCUUCUCCUAGACUCUGUGUAUAAACAAAAGUAUACAAUUAAUUUGAAGUCAUCAAGAGUGUGUGGAAAAAAAUACAUCUAUGAUAGGUGUGCCACCAUGCUGCUUGUGUAAGAUUUUCUUUUCCAAUAUCUAAAAUAAUCAUUUCCACAAGAGGGUGCUAGUUGAUAUCUUAUUCUUAAAAUAAAUUGAAUCUCAUUUUGGAAAUAAAAGGCUCUUGUUACAUUUAUAUUUAUGUAGUUACACCAAAUAUUUCAACAUAAUUCAUGUAGUAUACUUGGGAAGAUUACCUUCAUUGUUACUGUCUCCCAAAGAAACAAAAUUUUAGAUCACAGAAAGUCACAGUUUUUAGUUGAUAUAAAAAAGAAAUCUCUCAAGCAUAAUUCUAGUAUUAUUUAUUUAAAAAAAUAAAUUUUGGUUGGGCACGGUGGCUCACACCUGUAAUCCCAGCACUGUGGGAGGCCGGGGCAGGUGGAUCAUCUGAGAUCAGGCGUUUGAGACCAGCCUGGCCAACAUGGCGAAACCCCUCCUGUACUAAAUAUAUAAAAAUUAGCAGGGCAUGGUGGCGCAUGCCUGUAAUCGCAGCUACUUGGGAGGCUGAGGCAGGAGAAUCGCUUGAACCCAGGAGGUGGAAGUUGCAGUGGGCUGUGAUCGUGCCAUUGCACUCCAGCCUGGGUGACAGAGCAAGACUCCAUCUCAAAAAAUUAAAAAAAAAAAUAUCGUAAAUAAAUAAAUGUUAAAAAUGCAUUUUAGAAAAGUGAAUUUAUGUCGUCAGUAUUUUUACAAUUUACUUAAAUAUUAAAUUUGAGCAAGAUUGCUUCGCUUUAAAUGACACCACAAAAAUGCCUUGAUUUUCCUCUUUUUGUGGAAACAUAUCUAAGAGUAGAAGGCCUCAGCAACAUCUUGCAGUGUUGCUAAAUUCAUAUGUGUCUCAAAUUUGGCAUAGCCUGCAAAGUAUCCUGUGUUACUUUUGAGAAAUGAUCAAUGAAUCUCUGCUAGCAUAAUCCUAGCAUAAACAUCUUAGUCUCACACACACACACACAUCUAUACAUAUGUAUGCAUGUACAUAUAUACACAUACACACAUCUAUACAUAUAUAUCCAUAUACACGUAUGCAGAUAUAUAUAUAUGCAUAUACACAAACACAUCAGUGCUUAAGACAAUUCAUAUACUUAAGUCUCCUUCACCCUCCAUCUCUCAUACUAGGUUCUCCAUUUGCUAUUUACAAAUAAUAAUAGGAGAAAUGGCAGGAUAAUUUGCUUACUGCCUGGGAUAACUAUCAAAUUGGCCACUUCUAGAAACUACAAGGAAAAUCCUUCAUAAUUUAGCAUGGUUUUCCACAGUAUUGCUCUGUGUGCCCGGAGGAGAAAGUACUUAGCAACAAAAAUAGUACUUAUUGUGCAUCUCCUUGUGCCAGACAUUGUAUAAUAAUAUAUGUUAUAUUAUUAUAUAAAUUGUAUAUUGAUAUGGUUUGGCUGUGCCCCCAUGCAGAUCUCAUCUUGAAUUGUAGUUCUCAUAAUCUCAGUGUGUUGUGGGUGGGACCUGGUGGAUGAAUCAUGGGGGAGGUUACCCCCACCCUGCUCUUGUGAUAUUGAGUGAGUUCUCAUGAGAUCUGACGGUUUCAUAAGAUGGUUUUCCCUCUUUGCUCGGCACUUCUUCCUCCUGCUGCCUUGUGAAGAAGGAUGUGUUUGCUUCCCCUUCUGCCAUGACUGUAAGUUUCCUGAGGCCUCCCUAGCCACGUGGAACUGUGAGUCAAUUAAACCUCUUUUCCUUAUAAAUUACCCAAUCUCAGGUAUUUCUUCAUAGCAGCAUGAGAACAGAAUAAUACAUAUAUUAAUAUAUCAUAUUUAUUAUAUAACAUAUGUUUAUAUAUUAAGAAAUAUAAUAAUUGUGCCAGGUAUUUUAUUUCAUCCUUUUAACAACCCAAUGAUUUGGGUAUUCUCAAUACUCCCAUUUUCUAAUUGGGGAAACUGAGUCUCAAGAGAAAUUAAGUACUUAUCCAAGGUUUCUUGCUCUGGUGAAGCAAUCAUUUGGAUCCAGGCCUGUCUUACUCUAAGGCCCUACAUUUUUAACUAAUCUUACUAAUCUUUAUGCCCGUCUGAAACCCAGAAAUAGCUACAUUAUGUUACCAAGCCCAUACCUUCAACUCAGGUCCUAGCAUGUAUCUAAUGCCCUCAAUUUAUGUUUGGACACAUUUUGAUCUGGAAAAUCCAUGGCCUUCUUUGAUGGAUACCAAAAGAGGUUAGAAGGAAUGGAGUGAAGUUAUUUACAAACUUCAACUGACCCUCAGAGUGGCAUCAGCUAUCACUGAGCACUGUGAGACAAUCAGGGAUAGGCACACAACCCAAGUCAUUUUCCAGGACUUUUGUUUGCACAACUGGGAAAGCUGGCUUGUAAUGAUGUGAAACUUGGGGGCCUCCGCAAGGACCCCACAACUCUUCCAUCUACUAUUUCUUCAUCCAGAGGAAAUGAAGUGGAGCUAGGGACCAGGAGAUGUCCUUUGAACCAGGAAUCAAUAUGGCCUGAAGCCAGAUCUUCCCAUUUGGACUUUUUAGUUAAGUGAUACAACAUACUUCCUCAUUGCCAGGGCCAUUUUGGGUCAAGUUUUCUGCCACUCAGUGGUAGACCCCAGCUGAUUCAGCCAGCCUAAAGAGAAGAGUGUAACAAGAUGUUGAACAGGGUUUCUCCAGACUUGGCACCAAGGCUCAUAACACAGAACAACAUGUGUGAAAUUGUAAAGCCCCUUUUUUUCUGAAGAGAGCAGCCAAUCAUGAGACGUUCCUCAAGCCUUCCAUAGAGUCUGCAAAGCUGAGCCUACCACAUGUGACUGUUCCCCAAUUUUGUCUUUAUGAAAAAGGAACGGAGAGAGGAAAGUGUGAGCCUCAAUGGAGAAACUGGAGAAUCUGUAGGAUUUGGAAUGAGAGAUGAUUCACCUCCCCUCCCCACAGAGAGAAGAGAUGAUUCACCUCCUUUCUCCUCACCAAGGCAAGACAGAAGAGCUCAGAGGCUGGGGGCCUGCAAGAUUGGCAACCUCAGUGGAAUGGAUGGAUGUCCUGGUUAAACAUCUGCUUAGGUCAUGAACUGGCUAAUUUGUCUCUACGUAAAUCUGAAUUGGGGGAAGAAGCACCUAAAGAGAAACACUAGGAAGGAGAGGGUUCUGAUCUGCCCUACCACUGUUUGUGGCAAAGAUGAGUGAGUUGACUUUGGGUCAGAAAAUAGCCAGGUUGUAGACAUCUUGCCCUGCCCACAAGGUGGUUGCCUGAGUAAGUGCAGGGAUUGGGGGAGGGCAGUAACAAGAAGCUUUGUGGUGGGGGCAUGUGCUGAUGAUGGUAGGAAGAAGAGGUGGAGUUCAAGCUGGAUCUCCUGGUUAAGAAACUGUGGAGCAAAAGGGUCUGCACAGCCCUCUGAAAAACCAUACAAGAAAGAUCCAAAGGAGGGAAGAGACUUAAAUCAAAUUUGAGGUUGAUGCUUUAAAAUAACAGAGUUUUAAUGGCUCAGCAUGACUGGAAAUUUAUGGAAUCUAUCCCAGAUAGUAUAAAGUGACAAGAAACAGAGAAUGAAUUAGGUAUGGCUAAAGGCAGUGACUGGAAGAAAUAGAAUCUUUAUAUAUGUAUACUCCACUGAAUGGGGGGGCUGCUUAGUAACUCUAAUGGGAUAUUCGAGAAUUUAUCUCUCAUCAUACAGACAUCUGAAAAUGGGCCAAAAGCCAAUAGAAACUUUGUCAUGAGUGGCCAUGGCAAAUCUAAUGUCAGUAUCUUUGUCCACAGUUUCGUUGCAUUGUUGGUCAUCUCAUAAAUCCUAUUUCAGAAGGCUUUGCUAGAGGAGCCCGGGGUCGGGGAGGGCUAGGCUUAGGGGAAAGUCAGAGUUUAUGUCCAAUGGUUUCCCAGGUUGCACUAAAUUGGACAACUAACCAGAAUCUAUUUAG
ensembl:lncRNA MOCS2-DT MOCS2 divergent transcript